rnacentral:lncRNA from 1 species
GCCCUAAAAGAAAAAGUGAAAGAGGUGUGAACAUGCGGCACCUCCAGCCUCUUGAGGAUCUUGCCCCGGCCUUUGUCGCUGGCCGUGGUGAUGAGCGCUUGGAGGACGUGGCUGCCAGCAGCGUGUGAAGCCAGAGUGAAGAGGUCAGCGGGAGUGAGCGUGCGCAGGCUGCUGAGGAGGAGCGAGCGCUCCUUGAACUUCGCCAGCGCUUGGACCAACCGGGAGCCGUGGUAACAGAUGGAGGUCAGCGGUACCUGGGAGAAGAACUAUUUUUAGUGCAGCUUUGGGCUGUUAAAUCAGCUGAAAUCCAGUGAAAAUGAUUUGAUUAGAUUACUUCUGGCUGUUUUAGCUCUGUCUGUGUGUCGCCCUCUGCUGUUUCCAAGCGGUAGUACACUUCAUAGGUUAGCAGGGACAUGAAGAGGGAGCAGGGGGAGGCAGCUGACCUGUCGGGAGCCGGGCUCAGCACAGUGGAAGGCCUGAGGGAAGGCUUUCUGCCAGCUGAACGAUCACACCCAUGUGACCUGCAGCCAAGAUGGCCUCCACACCUUGAAUCAGCUCAUCGAACAACCGUGGAAACUGCAGGAACAACAGAAAGUUACUUUUCUGCAUUUUGGAAAUCCUCUCGCCUGCAAACAAAUGAAGUAACCCACCAGCUUGUAUUUGGCUGCAGCGGCAGUUAACCUCUGAAUGGGAAAGUUAGCAAUAGGAUGUAGAGCCAGGCUGACCACAUUUCCUUUCAGAUGGUUCUUGUAAACAUCACGGAGAAGAGAAAUGUGGGAUAGCUGUAUUACAGUCUCUAAGAGACGACUGGAGGCCUGAUCCUUCAAGAAAACCAGGAGAGGGCUGCCAGGGAGACGCAUAUUAGCAUUCCUCACAAUUAUUGCUUUAAGGAAAAGAAAAAACAAGCUUUGACUCGAACCUAACUCCAGGAGCAGCGCUGCGACUCAUGAGGUAUUCCAUGGUGCGUUUAAGGAGCUUUUUGCAGAGUUUAGGGCGUUUCCUGUGGCACACGGUCAGCAUGGUCUGGAACACAGCACUGGCAACGCCAUCUGUAAUACUGACUGAAGAGAGGAGAACUUUUGUUUAAACUUUAGUACCUUAUAUUUAUCAGGAAAAACACACUUGAAACAUAAAUGCAUAACUCGACUGAAAAUCUCGGGUCCUUGCUUCAGUCAGUCAACACAUUUCACAUUGUUGCUGGUGCAACACUGCCACCUACAGAGCAUUCAAAAAAUGAUUUUUGUCCCUUGUAAAAAAAAUAAAAAAUAAAAAAACUAAGCUAUUUUCCUUUUAAUGUUAGUCCUUUAAAAAACAAGAUUCACUUUUACUGAAAGAGAUGUGUCUUCUAACAACUAUACAUAAAUAUGAUGAUUAAUUCGCUUAAAUGAACACAAUUACUAACAAGCAAAUGAAAUAUUUUUACAGUUUAACUUUUAUUUCUGACUAGCUGCAAUGAUUAAAUUGGCCACCAGAUGUCCCUGUUUGCAGUUAUUGCUCUUAGAGAGAUUAAAAUCUGAAGCUUUGAAUCUAUUUUGAAACAACCAGACGUAAAGGUUUCUGGUUUUCAAAACGUUUAUUUAGCUUUCAGUGGUUUUUUUACUGUGUUUUUUUUUUUUUUACCAUUCUAAAACAGAUUAAUGUUUUUCCCUCAUUUUUAGUCCACCAUGUUGUUUGUUCUUCCUGUUUCACGUAUGCUAAUAUGAUAGCCAUUUGCUAACAAGAUUUCCAGUUCUAGCUUAAUGAAAAACCAGCUGACGUGCAACU